rnacentral:lncRNA from 1 species
UAUUUUCUCGAUUUAAUAUCGAGCCCAUUUUCCACACCCUUGUAAGUCGAUUGCUUUUUAAGCAUCGCCAUCAACCUCACAUAGCUUACUCUUGGGCUUUCUUACAAUGAGCCGGUUCUCUUGCACUUACACUCCUACUUUUGCAUUAUUUGUUGUUUGGGCCUGAUUUAAUUAUUUCAUUAUUUUGAAUCCCCAUUUGACAAAAUGUACCCCACUCCCCCGAUGUGUAAUAAUUUUGUACUAUUUAGUUCUUUAUUUGUUUGACUGUUUAGUUAGCUACUAAUAUAAGAAUAAAAUCAACAAUUUCAAAAAAAUACAAAAAAUAUGACUCGAUCCAAUGUCGAGUAUUUUCUCAAUAAACAAAU